rnacentral:lncRNA from 1 species
GCAAGCUUGAGAUGCUAGGAAUUCAGCUGUGGAAGUUCAGCUCUCAAGAAGCUCACAUCUAGGGUGCGGAGUUAGAGAAAUCAGACCGGCACAUGAUACAGAAGGGACUAGGUGCUAUGGAGAGACGUGAGCUGGGGAGGGGAUAGCCUGUGUUGGGGUGGAGGCUGCUGCUUUAGAGAGAUGAGGGAAGGCCACUGGAAUCUGAUGCUGAGCAGAGAUCAGGGAUUUUAUAUAAGGGAAGUGAGGGAGUGAGUCGUGGCCACCUGAGGAGAGCAUUCCAGGAUAAGGAAACAGCAGGUGCAAAGGCACUGCUGCAGGGAGGUGCUUGGUAUAUCCAGGGAGUGUGGAGAAGUCCCGUGUGGUGGCUGCAGAGGGAGCAGGGGGAGGAUGGUGGGAGGUGAGAAUGGAGACCUCUGAGGUAGGUCCUCGAGAGCCUUAGAGGCCACGCGAAUUGCAUGGGACCCACUGGAGGGAGCCAUUCCCAGAGCCAUGACAGGUUGGGACCUGCCUGCAAAGGACCACAUUCUGGCCGUGGGGAAGGGCAGAAGCAGGAGACCAAUUUGGAGGCUGGGACCUGGGGCCUGGGGCCUAGGACAGGCAUGGUGAGCAGUGGUCAGUUUCUGAAUCCAUUCUCAGGGUAGACACAAUAGGACUGGUGAUUGAUUGAAUAUGAGAUGUGAGACAAAGACAAAUGCCAAGGACGGCUCCAAGGGUUUUUCCUGAACAGCUGCCAGGAUGAAGUUGGCAUUUAUUUAGGUGGAGGAAGAAAGGAAGGAGCAGGUUUGGGAGCUGGAGAUAGAGAUUCGUUUUUGAAAGUGUUAAUUUGAGAUGUUCAAUUAGACACAGAGUGGAGAUGCCAAAUAGACAAUUAUACAGGAGUCUGGUGCUGAGUGUUGAGGUCUGGGAUGGAGACAUCACCCUGAGGGUCCUUGGCAUUUAAAUGCUGUUUAAAACCAGGAGGCUAGAUGAGCUCACCAAGGGAGAGGGAAGGGAUAGAAGAGGGAGAGGGUCUGAGGACUCAGCCCUGGAGCAUAGAUAAUUAACAGGCAGAUGGGGAGAAACUGGGAGAGGGGACUGAGAAGGAACAGCAGGCAAGAGAAAGAGGGCUAAGGGAGAGCCAUGACCUACAAUCAGGUCAAGAAGCAUUUCUACAGGAGAGAUUUAUGCUGCCGAUCUUCCAAUAGAUCAAGUAGCGUGGAGACCACUGAGACCCAGCCACUGGAGACCAUUAGCCUAGGGAGGUCAUUGGUGUCCUUGCCAAGCCCUGUUUUGGUUCUGGGUCCAGGAGACAGAGUGUAGUCAGAGGAGAGGAAUCACAGACAGCCCAGUGCAGACAACAGGCAACUCUUUCAAGGAGUCAUCUUAUAAAGACUGAAGCUGAGAGGCUUUUUUCCCAGUCAUCUUGACCACAAGAUCAGUUCUCUCCGUGAACAUAAAGACAAAAUCGCUGUGACACCAACAGACAGAUUUUUUAACAAGUGGAAUCCAUGUCUCAUGUAAACAAUGUGCUACUGCCUGCCAUUGAGUUCUCUUCCCUCGUUUUCCUUUUUGAAGACUUAACCCCUUUCCCAAAGGGACAUGUGCUCAGGUUUCUUGACUCCACAGCAAUCCCUUCUGUUGUGUAAGGCAAACUGAUCACCUUUCACAACGAGACAAGAAGUGAUUUAAAUCAGAUGGUGACCCAAUGACAAUGUCUGUGCUGUGUCCUAUGGAGAAAACCAAAGCUGAAAUCCAGUAACAGGUGAUAGGAAGAUGUGGAGAUAGAAACUGACCUGAAUUCUGAAAAACAACAAGAGAAAAGGAAGUCUGAGAACAAGCUGGUGUUCUUCCAAAACCUGUUCAUUGUGUGAAUUCCUAGAAGAUAGCGUGACACCGAGAAACAGGCUGGAGUGACACACCCAAACAAUUAUGCUACCUGGAUCUGCCAAGGCAGGAGGACAAACUCAGCAGCCUGGAGAAUGGAGGACACAGUCCAGAGUUGCAACAACAGCAGCAAUUACUUUUGACCACUCACUAUCGGAAAACACUGCUUUAGGCUGUGGAAAUGCAGUAGUAGAAAAGCCAGGCAUAAUCCUUAUCCCCAUGGAGGCACUAUCUCCAUCCAAGGGCAGAGGACCUGCAAGCCCUGAGGUCUCCAGCUGAGGUUCCUCUCUGAAGGACAGUUGCACUUCAGGUCAUGCUGCAGUAUGAGAGAAGGCAGCGUGACAUCUUGAGUUUCUAAUGCUCACACCUGUCUCAGUGAAGCAUUUUUACAGAGUAAUCACCACCCCCCUCACACCCCCAACAAUGUCAUCAAGUCAUAAAUCUCCUUGGUUUGAAAUAUUGGAUUAAAAUAUGAUUAAACAAUAUGUCUCAAUGGAAAGUUAAGAUAUGUGUGCAUUCUCUAUCCUCAAACAAUCCUGGAAUGCCCCCCCCCCCACUUUAUGAUUUUUUAUGAUUUGCCUAUCAGAAAUCUAUGCUAAAACUCUUAAAGAGUUUAGUUCUUAGAUUUGUAAGAGUAAGAGCAUGUAAGAAAUUAUUCUUUGACAGUUCUCAUUGCUAGCAACAAAGUUUUUAGGUUCCAAAGAGGUAUUUACUUAGAAACUAAAUAGUGUGAACCAUUAGCGCAGAAGAUGGUGCAGUAGAACAAAUGGGGAUGAGGUAUGAGGAGAGCCAAAUGCUAAUCCUGGUGUGUCACUGAUGUGACUUGGACACUGCCACCCCUCUGGACCUCUGCUUCCUCUUAGGGAAGAAGUGCUCUGUGGGGGUUCUCUGAGGUUACUCCUACAGUUCAUGUUCUAUGAGCCUGGAAAGAGCAAAAAUGUCUCAUAUAUACUACGUAAUGUUGUCUAAGUGGUACAUAGCAGAU